rnacentral:rRNA from 1 species
CCUCCUUUGUGCUGCCGUGGGGAAUAUUGCACAAUGGGGGAAACCCUGAUGCAGCGACGCCGCGUGAGUGAAGACGUAUUUCGGUAUGUAAAGCUCUAUCAGCAGGGAAGAAAAUGACGGUACCUGAUUAAGAAGCCCCGGCUAACUACGUGCCAGCAGCCGCGGUAACACGUUGGGGGCAAGCGUUAUCCGGAUUUACUGGGUGUAAAGGGAGCGUAGACGGCAGCGCAAGUCUGAAGUGAAAUGCCGGGGCUUAACCCCGGAACUGCUUUGGAAACUGUGCAGCUAGAGUGCAGGAGAGGUAAGUGGAAUUCCUGGUGUAGCGGUGAAAUGCGUAGAUAUUAGGAGGAACACCAGUGGCGAAGGCGGCUUACUGGACUGUAACUGACGUUGAGGCUCGAAAGCGUGGGGAGCAAACAGGAUUAGAUACCCGAGUAGUC